ensembl:lncRNA
AUGCAGAGACAUUCACAGUGCCAGUGCGCCGCGCGCCUGCCAGGCGUCGUUUCGCAUCGCUGCCAGGCCUCGUGCUCUGCUCUCCUUGUGCUUUGGAUGAAAGAAAGCAUUUCAUUUUACGUCACGGCUGGACGUAAAAGAACGAAGCGGCAGAGGUCUACGGCUGCAGGAUUUCUCCGGGGAACAUCUUGCCGUCACGCUUCACUGGCGUCUGAAGAGCGCCAGGGAAACCCUGACUGCAGGAGCGGGACAAGAGCUGAGACGAGAAAAGAGACAGAGCGUGAGGGAAUGAACGCAGCGGCGCGUGUGUGCGCGAGGCUCUGUGGGAGAGAAACAGUGGGAGGGCUGACUCUUGCGCAUUUGGAAAUUUGGCCUGUAAGUACCCUUCAGCUGGGGAUCAAAGCUGUGCACUGCACACACACCGCCUGAGAACGGACGUAUAGGCCCACAGAGGGAGGAGUGUGUGUGUGUGUGUGAGAAGGUCAGCAAGAGGCGACUCGUUCUUGGACGCUGUACAAUCUCCAGACGGCGAUCCCCACUGCGCAGGAUUAAACUGUGUGUGUGUGUGGAUCCUGCACUGAAAAACACAGCUUGACAUGCAAAUUUUCCACAGUAUGCUUAAGGGAAUAAACUCACCCAGGAUGACUGUGGGACUUGCA